rnacentral:rRNA from 1 species
UAUGGUUAAGCUACUAAGGGCUGAUGGCGGAUGCCUUGGCACCAGGAGGCGAAGAAGGACGUGGCAAGCUGCGAAAAGCUUCGGGGAGCCGCUAACAGGCUGUGAUCCGGAGGUGUCCGAAUGGGGGAACCCGGCGGAGUUCAAACUCUGUCAUUCACAACUGAAUACAUAGGUUGUAGAAGGCGAACGAGGGGAAGUGAAACAUCUCAGUACCCUCAGGAAAAGAAAACAAAUGUGAUUCCGCAAGUAGCGGCGAGCGAACGCGGAAGAGCCCAAACCCAUGGGCAUGCUCAUGGGGGUUGUGGGGCCCCGAUAUGGGAUGGCAAAAGUAUAGAAGAACGGUAUGGAAAGGCCGGCCAGAGACGGUGAUAGCCCGGUAUUCGAAAUACCUUUGCCCCCUAGGGAGUCCCCGAGUACCACGAGGCACGUGAAACCUUGUGGGAAUCCGGGAGGACCAUCUUCCAAGGCUAAAUACUACCUGGUGACCGAUAGUGAACAAGUACCGUGAGGGAAAGGUGAAAAGAACCCCGGGAGGGGAGUGAAAGAGAAACUGAAACCGUCAGCUUACAAGCAGUUGAAGCACCGCAAGGUGUGACAGCGUGCCUUUUGCAUAAUGAGUCAACGAGUUGCCGUAUGUAGCGAGGUUAAGCCGUCAGGUGGAGCCGUAGCGAAAGCGAGUCUUAAGAGGGCGAUGAGUUAUAUGCGGCAGACCCGAAGCCGGGUGAUCUAUCCAUGUCCAGGGUGAAGUCUCGGUAACACGGGAUGGAGGCCCGAACCGGUAUAGGUUGAAAACUGUUCGGAUGAGGUGUGGAUAGGAGUGAAAGGCUAAUCAAACUCGGUGAUAGCUGGUUUUCUCCGAAAUAUAUUUAGGUAUAGCCUUGCGAGUUGACUGACGGAGGUAGAGCACUGUUUGAGCUAGGGAUCCCACCGGAUUACCGACCUCAUGCAAACUUCGAAUGCCGUCAGGUUCUAUCGCAGGAGUCAGACUGCGGGAGAUAAGUUCCGUGGUCGAGAGGGUAAGAGCCCAGACCGUCAACUAAGGUCCCCAAACCAUGCUAAGUGGAAAAGGAGGUGAAAUUGCUGAGACAACCAGGAGGUUGGCUUAGAAGCAGCAAUCCUUUAAAGAUAGCGUAAUAGCUCACUGGUCUAGUGAAUUUGCGCCGAAAAUGUAACGGGGCUCAAGCAUGGUACCGAAGUUACGGAUCGAGCAAUCGAUGGUAGGAGAACAUUGUGUAGGCCUGAGAAGGUGCGUCGCGAGGCGUGCUGGAGGUAUCACAAGAGCGUAUGUUGACACGAGUAGCGAAAAUGGAGGUGAAAAACCUCCACGCCGUAAGUCUCAGGUUUCCUGAAGUCAAGUUAAUCUGCUCAGGGUUAGUCGGCCCCUAAGGCGAGGCUGAAAAGCGUAGUCGAUGGGAAACGGGUUAAUAUUCCCGUACCGCUGAUGUGGAACUUGUAUAAGGGGGGACGAAGAAGGAUAGGUCAUCCGGGCGUUGGUUGUCCCGGUUCAAGCGUGUAGGCGGAGGACUUAGGCAAAUCCGGGUUCUCAUAACGCCGAGGCGUGACGACGAGACCCUAUGGGUCAUAAAGUGAUUGAUUCCAUGCUUCCAGGAAAAGCCUCGUAUACAUUUACAUCGGUGACCGUACCGCAAACCGACACAGGUAGACAGGUAGAAUAUACCAAGGCGCUUGAGAGAACUCUGGUUAAGGAACUCGGCAAAAUAGCACCGUAACCUCGGAAAAAGGUGUGCCCCCUUGGUGAUCUUUUUUACAAGUGAGAGCCUCUGGGGGUUGCAGUGAAAGGGGGGGAGCGACUGUUUACUAAAAACACAGGACUCUGCGAAGUCGCAAGACGAAGUAUAGGGUCUGACGCCUGCCCGGUGCCGGAAGGUUAAGGGGACAUGUCAGCGCAAGCAAAGCAUCGAACCGAAGCCCCGGUAAACGGCGGCCGUAACUAUAACGGUCCUAAGGUAGCGAAAUUCCUUGUCGGGCAAGUUCCGACCUGCACGAAUGGCGUAACGAUUUCCCCACUGUCUCAACCAGAGACUCAGCGAAACUGUAGUACCGGUGAAGAUGCCGGUUACCCGCAACUAGACAGAAAGACCCCGUGAACCUUUACUAUAGCUUGGCAUUGUGUUUAGGGAUGGCAUGUGUAGGAUAGGUGGGAGGCUUUGAAGCGGGCACGCCAGUGUCCGUGGAGCCAACCUUGAAAUACCACCCUUGUCAUCUUUGAACUCUAACUGCGUUCCGUAAACCGGAUCCAGGACAGUGUCUGGUGGGUAGUUUGACUGGGGCGGUCGCCUCCCAAAGUGUAACGGAGGCGCGCGAUGGUUCCCUCAGGCUGAUUGGAAACCAGCCGUAGAGUGUAAAGGCAUAAGGGAGCUUGACUGCGAGAGAGACAUCUCGAGCAGGUACGAAAGUAGGUCUUAGUGAUCCGGCGAUUCCAUAUGGAAGGGUCGUCGCUCAACGGAUAAAAGGUACUCCGGGGAUAACAGGCUUAUCUCCCCCAAGAGUCCACAUCGACGGGGAGGUUUGGCACCUCGAUGUCGGCUCAUCACAUCCUGGGGCUGAAGCAGGUCCCAAGGGUUCGGCUGUUCGCCGAUUAAAGUGGUACGCGAGCUGGGUUUAAAACGUCGUGAGACAGUUUGGUCCUUAUCUGUUGCGGGCGCAGGAUAUUUGAGGAGCUCUUUCCCUAGUACGAGAGGACCGGGAUGGACGAACCAAUGGUAUUCCAGUUGUUUUGCCAAAAGCAUCGCUGGGUAGCUACGUUCGGCAGGGAUAACCGCUGAAAGCAUCUAAGCGGGAAGCCCCCUCCAAGAUAAGAUAUCCCGUGGCAAAAGCCACCUGAAGGCUCGUUGAAGAUGACAACGUUGAUAGGUCGGAUGUGGAAGUGUGGCAACACAUGGAGCUUACCGAUACUAAUGAGCCGUGCGGCUUAACCAUAU